rnacentral:rRNA from 1 species
AGCAGCCGCGGUAAUUCCAGCUCCAAUAGCGUAUAUUAAAGUUGUUGCAGUUAAAAAGCUCGUAGUUGAAUUUCGGGAUCAAAUUGUCGGUCGUGCCUCGGUACGCACUGGUAUUAUUGGUUCCUACCUUCUGAAGAACCGCGAUGUCAUUAAUUUGGUGUCGUGGGGAAUCAGGACUGUUACUUUGAAAAAAUUAGAGUGUUUAAAGCAGGCUUACGCUUGAAUACAUUAGCAUGGAAUAAUGAAAUAGGACGUUUGAUUCUAUUUUGUUGGUUCUUUUUGUUUGUUUUCUAGGAUUGACGUAAUGAUUAAUAGGGAUAGUUGGGGGCAUUAGUAUUCAAUUGUCAGAGGUGAAAUUCUUGGAUUUAUUGAAGACUAACUACUGCGAAAGCAUUUGCCAAGGAUGUUUUCAUUAAUCAAGAACGAAAGUUAGGGGAUCGAAGACGAUCAGAUACCGUCGUAGUCUUAACCAUAAACUAUGCCGACUAGGGAUCGGAUGAUGUUAAUUUUUUAAUGACUCAUUCGGCGCCUUACG